UGGGGGAUAUUGCGCAAUGGGGGCAACCCUGACGCAGCAACGCCGCGUGAAGGAUGAAGGUUUUCGGAUUGUAAACUUCUUUUAUUAAGGACGAAAAAUGACGGUACUUAAUGAAUAAGCUCCGGCUAACUACGUGCCAGCAGCCGCGGUAAUACGUAGGGAGCAAGCGUUGUCCGGAUUUACUGGGUGUAAAGGGUGCGUAGGCGGCUUUGCAAGUCAGAUGUGAAAUCUAUGGGCUCAACCCAUAAACUGCAUUUGAAACUGUAGAGCUUGAGUGAAGUAGAGGCAGGCGGAAUUCCCCGUGUAGCGGUGAAAUGCGUAGAGAUGGGGAGGAACACCAGUGGCGAAGGCGGCCUGCUGGGCUUUAACUGACGCUGAGGCACGAAAGCGUGGGUAGCAAACAGGAUUAGAUACCCUGGUAGUCCACGCUGUAAACGAUGAUUACUAGGUGUGGGGGGUCUGACCCCUUCCGUGCCGGAGUUAACACAAUAAGUAAUCCACCUGGGGAGUACGGCCGCAAGGUUGAAACUCAAAGGAAUUGACGGGGGCCCGCACAAGCAGCGGAGUAUGUGGUUUAAUUCGAAGCAACGCGAAGAACCUUACCAGGUCUUGACAUCCAACUAACGAAGUAGAGAUACAUUAGGUGCCCUUCGGGGAAAGUUGAGACAGGUGGUGCAUGGUUGUCGUCAGCUCGUGUCGUGAGAUGUUGGGUUAAGUCCCGCAACGAGCGCAACCCUUGCUAUUAGUUGCUACGCAAGAGCACUCUAAUAGGACUGCCGUUGACAAAACGGAGGAAGGUGGGGACGACGUCAAAUCAUCAUGCCCCUUAUGACCUGGGCUACACACGUACUACAAUGGAUGUUAACAGAGGGAAGCAAGACAGCGAUGUGGAGCAAACCCCUAAAAACAUUCUCAGUUCAGAUUGCAGGCUGCAACCCGCCUGCAUGAAGAUGGAAUUGCUAGUAAUCGCGGAUCAGCAUGCCGCGGUGAAUACGUUCCC
rnacentral:rRNA from 1 species